CGCUGAACUUAAGCAUAUCAAUAAGCGGAGGAAAAGAAACUAACAAGGAUUCCCUUAGUAACGGCGAGUGAACUGGGAAAAGCUCAAAUUUUAAAUCACCUAGGUGAGUUGUAAUUUGAAGAAAGUGUUUUGAUGCUCUGGUUUAGCCUAAAUCCUUUGGGAUAAGGUAUCAUAGAGGGUGAGAAUCCCGUUCAUGACUAAACCGUGGGUGUCACCUAAUUCACUUUCCAAGAGUCGAGUUGUUUGGGAUUGCAGCUCAAAAUGGGUGGUAAAUUUCACCUAAGGCUAAAUAUGUGCAAGAGACCGAUAGCGAACAAGUACCGUGAGGGAAAGAUGAAAAGAACUUUGAAAAGAGAGUUAAAUAGUACGUGAAAUUGUUGAAAGGGAAACGAUUGAAGUCAGUCAUGCUUGCAGGGAAUCAACAAAGUGGUUUUCUUCCUUGUGCACUUCCUUGCUUGGCAGGUUAGCAUCAAUUUUGAUUGUCAUUAAAGAACUGGGGGAAUGUGGCUUCUUCGGGAGUGUUAUAGACCCUAGUAGAUGUGGCGAUUGGGAUUGAGGAUUGCAGCGAAUGCUUCUUGGCUAGUCACCUGGCUUCUAAUGGUCACCUUGCUUUCGAUAGCUUGCUAACGUUGGUGAGAUUUGAUCGUCUAGAUGUUAGUGUGAUCAUAAAUUCGCUAAGGAUGCUGACGUAAUGGCUUUAAACGACCCGUCUUGAAACACGGACCAAGGAGUCUAACAUGUGUGCGAGUGUU
rnacentral:rRNA from 1 species